rnacentral:rRNA from 1 species
CAGCCGCCGCGGUAAUACGAAGGGGGCUAGCGUUGCUCGGAAUGACUGGGCGUAAAGGGCGCGUAGGCGGCGAUCAAAGUCAGGCGUGAAAUUCCUGGGCUCAACCUGGGGGCUGCGUUUGAUACUUGAUUGCUAGAGUGGGGAAGAGGGUCGUGGAAUUCCCAGUGUAGAGGUGAAAUUCGUAGAUAUUGGGAAGAACACCGGUGGCGAAGGCGGCGACCUGGUCCUUGACUGACGCUGAGGCGCGAGAGCGUGGGGAGCAAACAGGAUUAGAUACCCCGGUAGUCCCUGUCUCUUAUAA